GAGUUUGAUCCUGGCUCAGAUUGAACGCUGGCGGCAUGCCUUACACAUGCAAGUCGAACGGCAGCACGGGAGCUUGCUCCUGGUGGCGAGUGGCGAACGGGUGAGUAAUGCAUCGGAACGUAUCCUGGAGUGGGGGAUAACGUAGCGAAAGUUACGCUAAUACCGCAUAUUCUGUGAGCAGGAAAGCGGGGGACCUUCGGGCCUCGCGCUCUUGGAGCGGCCGAUGUCGGAUUAGCUAGCUGGUGAGGUAAAGGCUCACCAAGGCGACGAUCCGUAGCAGGUCUGAGAGGAUGAUCUGCCACACUGGAACUGAGACACGGUCCAGACUCCUACGGGAGGCAGCAGUGGGGAAUUUUGGACAAUGGGGGCAACCCUGAUCCAGCCAUGCCGCGUGAGUGAAGAAGGCCU
rnacentral:rRNA from 1 species